ensembl:snRNA
AGAAAGGGCUUCUGUCACGAGUGGCCCACAUAGGGCAAGUCAGCUGCUCUUCAUGUGAAAUCGAUAUCAAGAGAUUUUGGAAGCAUAAUUUUUUGGCACAUGGGCAGCUGGUGAUUGUUGGUCCUGGUGCCCAU